CUCAGAACCAGAAGAACUGUGUGGAGUGGCAGCAACUGGAGGAAGCAGAAUGUCCCCGAGCAAGAUUGUCAAGAGAAAAAAGUUACAUGUAUAAAAUCUACAGUAGAAUUGGAAGAUGGAUCUAAUGAGAAUAACACUAAGGAAACACCAUCCUUCAAAAACUAAAAGCUCCUUGAUGAGACAAGAAAAUGAAGUGUCCCAGAAGAGGAAAUGCAGUAAGUGUUGGGGAUAAAAAGAAGGUUAGAAAGCGAACAAUUUCAGAAGGGAAGAAAUGACCUCUAAAAGGGAAGCUGGGAUGAUAGCAAAGGCAAUGUCAACGUCCUCACAAUUUCACUUAGAUUUUCCUGGCUACUCUGCAGAAGGCAUGAUAAGAUAAAUGCUUAUUGAUUUCAAGAUCAAGGCAACAGGAUCCUUUCUGUUUAAUUAUUUCUUUGUAAGUUAAAAACUAAAUGCUUUGGCAAGUGCUGUAAAU
rnacentral:lncRNA from 1 species